GAAUAUCUCUACCCCAUGAAGGCCUUCCCAAGAAAGUCCUUUAGGAUUUCAUGAAGGGAUGCAACUAUACAGGCAACUGAGCAACAGUGUAGACUGAUCUCGAGCUGUUCAGAGAUGGAGUCAUAUGUCUCACAGCAGUCUUCACAGUGGAAUGAUGAUAGGCACACUCAUUUUACAGAUGGGUAUGCAGACGGGAGCUUUCUGGGGCCAGAUCCUGAGGAAGCUAAGGCUGUUCAUCACUUUCAAGGAUGUAGAAUUACAGCUACAGCAAUUUACUGGUGUUGCAGCAGAGCCCAGGCCAGUCUGCAGGAGUUCCUACCACCUGCUCUAAACCAAACUUGCAGAGAAAAAAACCUGUUUGCAACUGAACAUUGUACACAAGUUGAGACAUUUGCAUGUAACUGAGUAAUAAAAUGUUAAGAUACCAUCCAGGCUUUAUCUAUAAUGAUUAUACUUCCAUUUUUAUUUCUUUUUGUCUCCCAAGCAGAAUGCUGAGACAAAAUACUCUUUCUUGAGACCCAGAAGUGACUCUCCUGUAGUUGAAAGCACGUCUGGCAUGGCAAGCAGCUGUAUUGUUUUGCACCAGUCAUUUCACCCACCCAUGACAGACAAGACCUUGUCUGUUCAUGGAGAUUGAGUCUAGUGCUAAAGGACUCUAGGUAGUAUUGGGAAGACCAUGGAGAUUUUAGCAGGACUUUAUCUAUAAAUGCUUAAUGUCCUCCCUUACUGCUCUCCUAGGACAUCAAGCUUUGGGAGAAGUCAAUACAACACAAUGCCCACAUAUGCUUGCACGUUUGAGGUAUGUUUAACAUGUAUACACAAGUCCCUGGAAUUUUUUGAUAAUAAAAUACACAAGAAAGGUGGGGUAGAGAAAGCAGGAAAAACUCUUUCUGCUCAUUAGUGUAAACCUAGUUCUUGGCGCAUUAUGGAAAAUUAGUAGCUUUUAAGAAAGGGCUUUUAAUUGCUUAAUCUAAGUAAUGUGGACAAUGGCAUACGUGUUUUAUUUUAGGGUCUAUCUAGCCCACUCAGAAAAUGUAAUGGACCUAAUUUUCAUUUAGUAUAGGUCUGUGCAGUUCCUAAAACAUCUAAAUGGCUAUUAAUUUAAUCAGGUAAUUUAACUAUAGCUCUAGAAAAGGCCACCAGCUAGUUGUCACGCAAUGAUUAUGAGGAUGACAUUUCUAUCCCAUGAUGCCAGAGGCAGACUUUGAUACAUCAUUUUCUUUUUGAAGGUUAAACUCAGAUAACCUGCCUUUGGCAUUUAAUUAGCUACAUAUUAAACACUCUUUUAAUAAUAAAAUGAUUAAAAAUUUUAUUGCUUCUCAAAUGAGGCCCUUUUAGAUAGAUUUAAUGACUUGGUUAGAGCACUGUAGUUUGUGAACCAAACCUUAGUUAGACCAGUAUAUAGUAUAAUGAUAUGCUUUACAGCUUGCAAAAUCUGUAUUUUAUUCAAAUGACUGCCAUAAUCAUUUUGGGUAAAACUUAUAAUGCAUUCUUCUGUAUUUUUAAGUCUAACUGUUAAAUGUCAUUGGAAAGUAACUGAGAACCACCUGAUUUCAAAGAUAUAGAGAAAUGAUCAAAUUCAGACAUAGUAACACUAAGCUGCGGUACAAUUAACGUAGUGUAUUUUAUACAGAAAUUGUUUAUCCUUUAAAAAAAUUCGUUCUUCACAGUUUAAUAUCUGUUAAAAAAAAAACAAAAACCCUCAUGUUCAUUUAGCGAUGAUAAUAAAACCUGGACAGGCUAACAAUCUCCACUCUUUAUUUGGUAUAAAAAUGUUAGAGAUUUAA
rnacentral:lncRNA from 1 species